UACGUAGGGUGCAAGCGUUGUCCGGAAUUAUUGGGCGUAAAGAGCUCGUAGGCGGUCUGUUACGUCGGCUGUGAAACCCGGGGCUCAACCCCGGGCCUGCAGCCGAUACGGGCAGACUAGAGUUCGGCAGGGGAGACUGGAAUUCCUGGUGUAGCGGUGAAAUGCGCAGAUAUCAGGAGGAACACCUAUGGCGAAGGCAGCUCGCUGGGACGGUACUGACGCUGAGACGCCGAAAGCGUGGGAGGCGAACAGG
rnacentral:rRNA from 1 species